UGCUGGAGGCAAUAUGUUCAGUUGGUACAGCACAAGACUCUUAAUCUCAGGGUUGUGGGUUUGAGCCCUAUGUUGGGCAA